AAAUCCCAAUUUGGAGUUUGGACCUAGUGGCCUUAUUAUCAAUUAUCAUUAACAAGUAAAUAAGUAAAUAGUAAUUAACAUUAGUUAGGGUUCACUAUUUCACUUCACUUUUGGCUUCUGAGUUCCGACUUCCAACUGCCGACUACGUCUACUGCUGCUCAUCCGUGUCCUAUUGUCGCUGAUCCGCCGACCUUCACUAUUACUCCGUUGGCCACUGCUUAGUCUGCACUUUGCCAAUCCCUUGUUUCUUCUUCUUCUUCUACUGGUAAUUUUUUUUUUCAAGUGUUGAAAUAGAAAUUGCAAGAUCUAACUUCUAAGAGUUCUAAUGCUCUACUCCAUUAUAUUAUUGGCGUUAGAGACUUAAACUUAGUUUUCAUUUUCCAGUGUUUACAUUUUUUUAAUUCUCUUUACAUUCAUUUUUCUAUAUAUGGCAGAAGUUGAAAGUAGAGUAAGUGAGGUGGAUUCAACCAAAAUGAGCCUACUUCUUCACCUACAAAUUCAGUUGAAACUAGUCAAGGUCCAAAAAAAUGAAAAUCUAUACAAUUUAGGUCAGAAGCUUGGGAUCAUUUUAAAAAAUUUAAAGAUGGAAAUGGAGCUGAUAGAGCAAAGUGUAAAUAUUGUGGUCGUGAUUAUAAGGUCGAUUCACGAUUGAAUGGAACAACAUCCUUGAAUACUCAUUUAAAGAAGUGUCCAAAAAUGCCGAAGAAUGUUGUUGAUAGUACUCAAACAUAAUUGUCUUUCGAAAUAGAUGGGCAAGCAUAGGUGGGAGUGCUAUAAAAAUUUGAUCAAGAACUAGUUAGGAGGGCUUUAGUUGAGAUGAUAAUUACAGAAGAACUACCUUUUAGUUUUGUUGAAAAGAAAGGCUUUAAAAAGUUCAUGAGUACCGCCCAACUUUUGUUUCAUGUUCCUUCUCGUAUUACGAGAGAUUGUUUUAAAGUUUAUGGUGAAGAAAGACAAACUAUUGAAGAAUUUUAGAGAUGUAAAACCAAAAAUUUGCCUUACCACCGACACAUGGACUUCAUUACAACGAAUAAAUUAUAUGUGUCUGACUUGUCACUUUAUUGAUAGAGAUUGGGUAUUGUAUAAAAUAAUGCUAAAUUUUAUCCCUAUCGGGUGAUGAAAUGACGAAAGUUAUUGGUAGUUGUUUUCUUGAAUGAAAAUUAGACAAGGUAUUCACUGUUAUGGUUGAUAACGCUUCUUCCAAUGAUGUAACGGUCAAAGAAAUAUCUAAACAAUUAAAUAUGUGGAAAACUAAUUCGAUGAGUGGUAAGCAUCUUCAUGCGAGGUGCAUGGUUCACACAGGGGCGAAGCUAUGUUGGCCCAAGGGUGGUCAACUGACCACCCUUCGCCGAAAAAUUAUAUUACGUAUAAUGUAAAAUAUUACUUGUUAUUGAUUAAAAAUAGACUUUGAACACCCUUGUAUAGCCCCCUGGCAAAAGGUGUUCAAAAUUUAAACACCCAUUUUAAAUUUUUUGGCUUCGCCACUGGGCUCACAUACUUAAUCUAAUUGUGUAAGAUGUUUUAAAAGAAAUCGAUAUUUUUGUUAAACGUGUUAGACAAAUUAUGAGGUAUGUGAGAUCAUCACCUCAAAGGACCUUAAAGUUUAAGGAGUGUUGUGCAUAUCAAGAGGUAGAAUGUAACAAAAUAUUGUGUUUAGAUGUUCCUACUAGGUGAAAUUCCACCUACUUGAUGUUGGAUACAGCGCAAAAUAUUUUGAGAAGGCCUUUGAUAAGUUUCAUCGUUUUUAUGAUGGAUUUUCUACUUAUCUUUAUUCUCAUAUUUGUGAAGACGGGAAAAUUGUAGGUCCACUCGAAUGUGAUGAUUGGGUGAAUGUGAGAAAUGUAAUAAAAUUUCUUGAAAGAUUUCAUGAGCUCACCGAAAAAGUUUCAGGUUCACGUUAUGUCACUUCUAAUUGUUAUUUUGAGGAUAUAAGUGAACUUGAUAAUCAUUUGAAAGCUUGUUUGGCAAGUGAAGAUACUAGUUUAAGUAAGAUGGCAGAGAGGAUGGAAGAAAAGUUUAAGAAAUAUUGGGGUGAACCCAAAAAGAUGAAUAAAAUAAUAUUUAUUGCUUAUGUAUUAGAUCCCCUUAAUAAAUUGGAGUAUGUUGGUUUUGCACUUAAGAAAAUAUUUGGAGAUGAAGAAGGAAAGAAAAUAACUGCUGAAGUGGAGGCUUAUAUGGCUUCUUUGUUUGGAGAGUAUCAACAAAUAUAUUCAAGAGGAUAUCAUCUUCAAUCAUCUUCAUCUACAUAUACUUCAUCGAAUGACACAUCUAAUACAUCUAGUGGGAGUGGGAGUAUGAGAAAGAAAAGUGAGAACAAAGCUUCAAUUAAAGAGACAAAAGAAGUGACUCUGAUGACUUUAAAAUCUUAGAUUGGUGGAAACUUAAUGCACCUAGAUUCCCUGUUCUUUUUGAGCUAGCUCGUGAUGUAUUGACCAUUCUAAUUUCUAGUGUGGAAUCAGAAUGUGCAUUUAGCACCGGUAGCCGUAUUCUUGCUUCAUUUAGGAGUUCAUUGACUCCUCGGUUGGUGCAAAGUCUUGUUUGUGUUCAAGAUUGGUUUAGAUGCGAGGGUACUCCUAUUAAUAUUGAAGAAGAAUUGAAGUUUCUUGAAUAAUUUGAACUUUGUAAGAUUUUUGUGUUUAAUGUGAUUUUUAGUGCAAAAUAAUUUGAUUAUGUUAUAUGACACACUUUGUUAAAUAAUCUUUAUAUAUGGCAAAUAGUGAAAGAGAAACUUGCAUUGUUGAAAGGAAUGCAAGUUAGUUAAGUGGUAAGUUUAAAGAUUCGCUUGUUUUGUGAUAUCUUUUUAUUAUUUAUUAGUUAAAAAGAUUGUAUUUAACUUGUAAUCUUUUUUUAAUUUGUAGGUUCAACCAUGCCUCGCAAUCGUAAAGCUAGAUCGCCUAUUUGGGAACAUUUUGAGAUUGUUAAAGAAAAUGAAGGGCGCAAAGCUAAGUGCAUUCAUUGUAGUCGAAUUUAUAAUUUUAAUCCGAAGGUUAAUGGAACUUUUUCUUUAAUGAAACAUAUUAAGAAGAAGUGUCUCCUCCUUCAUCUAAGGUUGGAGAUUCGUAUUUAACUAUUUAAGUAUGGUUGUAGCACUUGGUGUUAUUUGGUGACCUUUUACCAAACUUAUUUUGUGGCUUUUGUGAUAGUCACUAUUUUGUUAGACUUAUUAUGGCUUUUGUGAUAGUCACUAUUAUGUAUUUAAGACUUUAAGUUGCCAUAUAUUGUGUUGGAGUUUUGAUGGAUGAAAACGUUUCUGCCCAGUUAUUGUUUGAUCAAAUGUUUCUGCCUAGUAUUUAUGUUGAAAUCAUUAUGUAUUUUGUUCUAUAAAUAAUAAAAGUCACUUAUGUAGAGAA
rnacentral:lncRNA from 1 species